rnacentral:rRNA from 1 species
AUCGGCGCAGCCUGAUGCAGCCUGCCGCGUGUGUGAAGAAUGCCUUCGGGUUGUAAAGCACUUUCCGUCGUGAGGAAGGUAGUGUAGUUAAUAGCUGCGUUAUUUGACGUUAGCGACGGAAGAAACACCGGCUAACUCCCUGCCAGCAGCCGCGGUAAUACGGAGGGUGCGAGCGUUAAUCGGAAUUACUGGGCGUAAAGCGCAAGCAGGUGGUUUGUUAAGUCAGAUGUGAAAGCCCGGGGCUCAACCUCGGAAUUGCAUUUGAAACUGGCAGACUAAAGUACUGUAGAGGGGGGUAGAAUUUCAGGUGUAGCGGUGAAAUGCGUAGAGAUCUGAAGGAAUACCGGUGGCUAAGGCGGCCCCCUGGACAGAUACUGACACUCAAAUGCUAAAGCGUGGGGAGCAAACAGGAUUAGAUACCCAGUAGUCCAC